rnacentral:rRNA from 1 species
UACGAAGGGGGCUAGCGUUGUUCGGAAUUACUGGGCGUAAAGCGCGUGUAGGCGGGUCUUUAAGUCAGGGGUGAAAUGCCAAGGCUCAACCUUGGAACUGCCUUUGAUACUGGAGACCUUGAGUCCGGGAGAGGUGAGUGGAAUUGCGAGUGUAGAGGUGAAAUUCGUAGAUAUUCGCAAGAACACCAGUGGCGAAGGCGGCUCACUGGCCCGGUACCGACGCUGAGGUGCGAAAGCGUGGGGAGCAAACAGG